CGCCCGUCACACCAUGAGAGUUGGUAAUACCAGAAGUAUGUAUUCUAACCGUAAGGAGGAAGCGUACCAAGGUAGGAUUAGCGAUUAGGGUGAAGUCGUAACAAGGUAUCCGUACGGGAACGUGCGGAUGGAUCACCUCCUUUCUAUGGAGAUAUAGAAAUUUUCCAAUUUCAGUUAAUGAAAUUAUGUACAUAAGCAUUGUUCGGGUUCUAUAAAGUUCUCAGGGAUCGAUACCCUGGAGUCACUUGGAAGAUAGUGUCUCACACGAUCGUCAUUUGAAAACUAAAUAUUUGAGUAAAAGACAUUUUAUUUUUCUACGUUUAUAGAUUUUUUUAUAAAUGUAAAUUGUAACUUUUAAUUUUUAUUAAUUUUGUUAUAUUAGAAAACUAAAAUUUCAUUAGUUAUUAUAAUUGCAAAUAGGUUUUUCUUAAAAAAGAAUAGUAAGGGCAUAUAGUGAAUGCCUUGGGAAAUGGAGCCGAUGAAGGACGUGUCUACCUGCGAAAAGUUUCGGGGAGCUGGAAGUUAGCUUUGAUCCGGAAAUGUCCGAAUGGGGAAACCCAAUAUGAUUAAUCUCAUAUUAUCCAUAAAUGAAUUCAUAGUUUAUGUGAAGGGAACCAUGGGAAUUGAAACAUCUUAGUACCAUGAGGAAAAGAAAACGAAUGUGAUUCCGUAAGUAGCGGCGAGCGAAAGCGGAACAGGCCAAACCGGUCUACGGGCCGGGGUUGUAGGACUCUUGUUAGAGUUACAAAACUAAUAUAUAGCAGAAGUGGUUGGAAAACCAUGUCAUAGAGGGUGAUAGCCCCGUAUGCGAAAUGUAUUAGUCUCGAGAGAGUAUCCUGAGUACGGCGGGGCACGUGAAACCCUGUCGGAAUCUACCCAGACCACUGGGUAAGCCUAAAUACUACCAUUUCACCGAUAGUGAACCA
rnacentral:sRNA from 1 species